UACGGGGGGUGCAAGCGUUGUCCGGAAUCAUUGGGCGUAAAGCGUUCGUAGGCGGUAAAGUAAGUCAGAUGUUAAAGCCCGGGGCUCAACUCCGGUUCGGCAUUUGAUACUACUUAACUGGAAUGCGGUAGAGGUAAAGGGAAUUCCUGGUGUAGCGGUGAAAUGCGUAGAUAUCAGGAGGAACAUCGGUGGCGAAAGCGCUUUACUGGGCCGUUAUUGACGCUGAGGAACGAAAGCCAGGGUAGCAAACGGG
rnacentral:rRNA from 1 species